UUUAUAAAGGGGAGUUCCCCUGCACAUGCGCUCUUGCCUGCCACCAUGUGAGUCAUGACUUUCAUCUUCCCCCAUGAUUGUGAGGCCUCUUCAGCCACAUGGAACUGGGUUGUCACCCUAAGCUCAAAGGAGGGAGCUGUGAAAGUUCAUUGUAAGCUGUGUGCAAAUGUCAGCAGUGAUGAAUCAGGCAAGGAGGUCAAGACAGUCUUCAGGUUUCCAGCAGGACUGGGACUCAGUAAGUCAUUCCUCCCCAUCAUUUGGUAAUGAUGUCAUUUGGUAGAUGCUGUGCAAAGUGUUGUGCAAGCGUUAGUGUUGGAUGAGGGUCAUCUAGCCCUCACCCUAUGCAGAGGCGCUUCCGCUGCGCUGCUUACAAGAAGCAAAAUGAGGAUUGGAGAGCUCCACUCAUCAUCUCAAGGUGACAGAGCUGGUUGUCAAAUCAAAGUCUUCUGAAAUUAAACACAAUAUCCCUAGAGUAGUCUUCUGGAGUGAGAGUGCCUGGGCUCAACGUGUCUUGGAGCUGAGUCUGCAUCUGUGAAACGGGAGCACCAACCUCCUAGCGCCCUCAUCAGGUGUAAGGUAGACAACAGGAGUGCACACAGAACCUGGCUGAGAGUACAUUCAAUAAAGAUGAUAAAGGAAAAACCAGGUGAGGACGUACUCAGAAGGCAGCUGUCUGCAAGCCAGGAAGGGAGGCCUCACCAAAAACCAACCCUGCCAGCACCUUGAUCUUAGACUUCCAGCCUCCAGAACCAUGAGAAAAUAAAUGCCUGUUUUUUAAGCCACGCAGUCUGUGUUAUCUUGUUAGGGCAGCCUGAGCUAAGAAGGGGUUCUUCUGGGUCUCUCUCGCUGCCUCAGCCUGGCUCCGUGGACUGUGGGCCACCUUUGUCUGAGUGCAUAGUUUAUUUCAGGGCAUUUCACGCCAGUUAGGUCCUUUCUGGGUCAUGACCAGGUGUGCUGAGGUUAGGGACAAUUGUAUAACAUCACGUGGCAUGAAGUAAGGAAACAGCUUUUUUGGAGAAAGGGAAAACUUAGCAAGUCGAAGUUGACCAGAGAAGGGAAGGAAGGUACAGACCUCCUUCCCAUCGCCCCACCGAGAUGCCCAGCCUGGACCUGGAAGUGUGUCCCAUUGCAGUGGACACAGUCCUCCCAGUCUGCUCUCUCUUUGAAUUGAGCAGAUGUGGAGCAACGUGGUUGGUGGUAAAAGAGAUUGCUCUGGUGCCAAGUAGGUUGAGGGGUGCCUACUGUUUGCAGAACUGACUGGGGAAGCCAGACACCCGGCACCCAGAGAGUUCCUGGAAUCACUUUCUUGACAAUCUUGCUUGUUGUGCCACGGGUGGUGUCCAGACUGGACUGGCCCUCCAUUGGUGAUGACAGGGAGGGCAAGGGAGUCUCCCUCCCACCCUCCUGAGGUCCAUGUCCUCAACCCUUCCCCUGCCAGGACUCCCCUCCUUAAGCUCCUGCCUCCUGCUCUACCCUCCAGGGUCCUUCGCCUGAACCCCGGGACCUCGGGAGAGCAGCCACCACACCCACCGUCCGGAAGAACUCUGUCCCACUAUGUAGACUCUCCCAGCUGCCACCCAAGGCUGCUGCAGCCAAUCCCCCUCUACCAGAGACUCCAAGGAAGAAGCAGGCAUCAGGGUCCAGGCUCUUUUUCACCUCUAACUCCCGCAACAUGCACCAGCUGCCUCACACCCCGUUCCAAUGGUCCCCCAGGGUGAGCCUGGCAGCGCCCCAGCUCCACAGGAAUCCAAUGGGGGAGACAGCAUGUACAGACCCAGUUUCUAGGAGUGCUGUCUUAUCCCCCAUCACUGCCUCUAGAAGAGGAUUCUCUCCUACUCAGACAAAAAAGGAAGACAGAGCUCCCUGCAGACCAAUGAGCCACAACUGCCAGGUCCUCCUCUCGGCACACAGGUGGAGGAGACGGAGGCUGGGGCCAUGAUUGGUAACAGCUCAGCCAGUUCUAUUACCUCUGAGUAGGCCUCAGGGGACGUGUGGACAGAGCUGGGCCUGAGCCAUCCAUUCUGAGCCACAGUAGAAGCCCCAUGGACACAUGGACAUCCCAUUGCAGGGGAGGCCUGGCAGGAAGAUGGGCCACUAAUGGGAGGAGGCUUAGCAGAAGACACUCAGUUCCUACCCAUUCCCAUCCCCUAAGGGCUGGCCCAGACCCCAAAACCCUCUGGAACCUGCUCUCCAUCCUCCCAUCUGCCAGGGAUGAAAACGCUCUCAUCACUUGGACACACCCUAAAUCCAGGGAGGACUGAUGAGAAUACAAACACAAGUUGCCAUGUGCUAUGGGCUGAACUGAAUCCCUCCCAAAUUCCUGCGUUGAAGCCCUAAUCCCCUGUACCUCAGAAUGUGACUAGAUUUGGAGAUCAGCCCUCUAAAGAGGUAAUUAAGGUAAAAUGAGGUCACUAGGCUGGGCCGUGAUCCAAUGUGACUGGUGUCCUCAAAAGGAGGCAAUGAGGACGACACACACAGAGGGCAGACCACAUGAGGACACAGCAACAGGAGACAUCUGCCAGACAAGGAGAGAGGCCUCAGAAGGAACCGACCCUGCCAGCACCUUGAUCUUGGACUUCCAGCCCUCACAACUGUGAGUAAAUAAGUUUCUGUUGUUUAAGGCCCCCAGUCUGUGACUUCAUUACAGUGUUCUUGUGAACCGACAUGCCACACCUCUUGGUGAGAGAGAGAGAUGUGAAGCCCUUUACCUCACUUGACCUCAUUUGAGUGUCAUUAGCACUCAAUAUUGAAUCAGGGUGAAGAUACGCAUGCAGAGCCAGGGUCAUUGUACCCAUUUCAAAGUUGGAAAUGUUGAGUCUCAAAGCCAUUCCGGGAGAACAUUGGGCCUUCCCACAUCCUGAUCCAGGGAUCUUUCCUCUUGGCCAUGUUUCCUCCCUGUUGGCUUUGACCUGGGCAGGCCAUGCUUGUGUACUAUAUGGGCUCAGGCCACUCCCCAGCAUCCACUGGGCCUUGGAGGAGGUCAGCUCCUUCUCCAGCCACAUCCUGCCCUCCCUCACCCUGCACCAUCCCAGGCUGCUCUUAGCAGUCAGCCACUCUGACAGCCAUUCUGGAUGUCAUUGUCUCCCUGAAUGUCCAUGUCCACCUCUCCCUUCAGGAUCAUCCUGCACGGGGCUUGGAUGUUGACAACAAGCUGAGCCUGUGUCCAUGGACCUACUAGAUGUUAACGACUUGGUUAGAAGAUGGGGGCAGUAGGAAAGCUCAUUUAGUGAGGGAGACACUGGUAUCACCAACCCUAGGGUUUGGAAAAGGAGAACAACCAAGAGGGGUGCUGGGGAGCAGGGCUAGAAAGAAGGGGAGGGGAGAAACUUAAGAAAUAAGAGAAAGAGGGAAGAAAAGGAGAGAGGGAGAGGGAUGUGAAAGAUAAGAGGAAGGGUCAGGCUGUCCCUGGUAGGGAAAACCAACGUGGCGGAGCAAGAAAAGUCCUCCACACCCUAUUCCAGCCCCAUGGGUGUCACUGCAAUCUGUGAUGUGCAAAGAACCUCUCUGAACUUAAGGAGUUACAAAACACCAGAGAGGUGAUUACUUUGUGUCUGCCCUCAGCCUUCACUUCUCUUAUUAUCUGCAAUAGACUAAAUAAUUAUGCCCCCCACUCCAAAGUCAUAUGCUGAAAUCCUAACCCUCAAGGUGACAUUAGGGGUAAGAUCUUUGGGGGGUGUUGAGGUCAUGAGGGUGGAGCCAAAUAAUUAUUCCCCCCACCCCAAAUUUCCUUAUACUGAAAUCCUAAAGCCCAAGGUGAUAUUAGGGGUGAAAGCUUUGGGGGCUGUUGAGGUCAUGAGUUGGAGCCUUCAUGAAUGGGACUAGUGCUAUUAUAAAAGAGACCCCAGAGAGAUCCCUCUCCUAUUCCACCGUGAAGACUCAGCAAGAAGGCGCCAUCUAUGAACCAGGAAGUGGCCCUCGCCACACACCAAAUCUGCUGGCGACUUGAUCUUGGACUUUCCAGCCCCCAGAACUGUGAAAAAUAAA
rnacentral:lncRNA from 1 species